CCUACGGGUGGCAGCAGUGAGGAAUAUUGGUCAAUGGGCGGGAGCCUGAACCAGCCAAGUCGCGUGAGGGAAGACGGUCCUACGGAUUGUAAACCUCUUUUGCCGGGGAGCAACGGUGUCCUUGCGAGGGCCCGAUGAGAGUACCCGGAGAAAAAGCAUCGGCUAACUCCGUGCCAGCAGCCGCGGUACUACGGGGGCUGCGAGCGUUAUCCGGUUUUAUUGGGGUUAAGGGGGUCGUAGGCGGGCUGUUAAGUCAGCGGUCAAAGGUCGGGGCUCAACCCCGGCCUGCCGUUGAAACUGGCGGCCUAGAGUGGGCGAGAAGUAUGCGGAAUGCGUGGUGUAGCGGUGAAAUGCAUAGAUAUCACGAAGAACUCCGAUGGCGAAGGCAGCAUACUGGCGCCCUACUGACGCUGAGGCACGAAAGCGUGGGUAUCGAACAGGAUUAGAUACCCUUGUAGUC
rnacentral:rRNA from 1 species